rnacentral:misc_RNA from 1 species
GAAAGAUAUCGUGAUUUCAAUCGGUAUUUUGUUUAUUUCUCCUAAUCUUUUUUGGGAUUUCUUUAUUUUCUCUCGUUAUGUUUUUUGGUUCUUCUUUUAUUAUGUAGAGAUCUGCCUGAGCGCGCGGUUAUUACGUUUGAUGAAUUUAAUUGCUUUGUUUUGUGGGUAGAUAUGUAAUCUUAGGGUUAACCAAUUUAUGUU